rfam:Loxodonta africana unplaced genomic scaffold scaffold_68, whole genome shotgun sequence.
AAAAUGUAUUGGUCUUUUAACCCUUUUUGUUAUUGAAUCUGGAUGUACCUCAAAAGAAUCUUAAGACUGUAGUGAUAAGAUGAUUUCUUC